GUAGCAGCGAGCUUCGCACAGUCCGGGCAGAUGAACAUGUCAUAAUUCAGAGACAGCCCUCCAGUUUCUGAGGCAGACCCCGCAAGGCUGGAUGCCAGGACUUGCCAGCCCUCAGCACCCAUUUCAGGCCUCAGGGUUCCUUCUCCCACAGACCCAGCCAAGCAGAACUUGCUUAAGCAUGCAUGCCAAAGUACCCAGCACACAGUAGGUGCUCUUGAGUCAACCAGUAGCUUGAGUUUCCUUUCUGGGGACACCUGAGGCAAACACCCACCCCUCUUCUCCAGCUCCCUCAGCUCGUCAGAACACUGCUCUUCAUCAUGUCCUCACUUGUUGACAGAAGACCGUUCCCACCAGCCUGUCCCCUCUAAAUGCAUUCCCUGUGGACUCAACACCAGGCAGAUCUGGACACAGUAUUUAUUCAAUGAUAUUCUGUACUUAAUCACCACAUGGCUCUCUAUCUGCAUCGCAGCUCCCCACCUUGGAUUGUGAGGGCUCAGGGCUGGCCCCCCUUAACUGUGAUUUACAACAAUGAACACGGGGUCACAAUGAAAGAGCUCUGAGAUGUUUGUGAACAGAAAGAAUGAAGAUGACAUUGUGGGUCCUGAGUAAGGGCCCAGACAGGCUGCCCAACCCACAGAACCCAAGGCCUGAGCAAGGCCUCCGAGGGUUCGUCUAAGGGAGUAUCUAAGGCACUGCAGUGAAGGACAUGAUUGGCCCACCAAGUGUGGCCUCCUGGUCUCAUGGCAAGCCC
rnacentral:lncRNA from 1 species